rnacentral:lncRNA from 1 species
UAUAUGAGAAAUUUGAGAUCAAUUUAAUGGUGCAAAAGAGAGAUAUUAGCAAUAGAAGAUCUACAUUAAGAUUGAAUUAGAAGACCGACCAACAUCCGAGCAAAUUUUAGGAUUUUUCUUCCAUUUGGUAAGUGUAAUUGUCUUCAAAUUUAUUAUACUUAUUUUUAACUAAGAGAUUAAGAGAUGCAUUAAUUUUUAAAUAAGAUCAAUGAUUUAAUCAAAUAAUAUUGAGGUUCUAAACUACCUAAGGUUUUAGGAUUUGGUUAGGAUUUGGUUUAAGGUUUAGGCUUUAGUUAAGAUUUGAUUUAGAGUUUAGGAUUUGUUUAGGAUUUGAUUUAGGAUUUAAUAUUUGAAUAGGAUUUUAUUUAGGAUUUAGGAUUUAGUUAGGAUUUAGUUUAGGAUUUAGGAUUUGAUUAAGGUUUGAAUAGGAUUUGGUUUAGGAUUUAGGAUUUGAUUAGAAUUUGAUUUAAGAUUUAAGAUUUGGUUAGGAUUUAAUUAGGAUUUGAUUUAGGAUUUAGGAUUUGGCUAGGAUUUGGUGAAGGUUUGAGAUUUAUCUAAGAUCUAGUUUAGGAUUUAGGAUUUGUCUAGGGUUUGAUUGAAGCCCAUUAGGAUUUUAAUUAGGAUUAAAUUAGAACUUGGUUGAAAUUUAUUUAAGAUAUAGUUUGCUUAUUUUAGUAUUUUUUAAGACUUCUUAAGGAUCCUUUUAAGAUUUAUUAAGGAUUAUCUUUUGUCUAUUUUAAGAUUUUUUUAUUCUUUCUUUUAUAAUUUCUUUAAGAUUUUUU